ensembl:snRNA U6 U6 spliceosomal RNA
GUGCUUGCUUCAGCAGUACACAAACUAAAGUUGGAACAAGAUAGAGAAGAUUUGUGUGGCCCUUGAGCAACGAUGACAUGCAAGUUUGUGAAGUGUUUUAUUUUUUA